AGAAACUCGGCGUUACGGUUCUUGGAGAGAUUCACUUAAUACAAUUGAUGUCGUCAUUUAUAUCACCGACCCACUCUUCCCACCACAUAUCAUUCUAUACAUCUCUUCUUAUCUCAAGUGAUUGCAUAUUUUCAUCUAUAAAUAAAUGAGUUUAAAUCUGUGAAGUCCAUCCAUUUUUACUUCUAAAUCAUUCAAGAGAUUUUUAGUUGAAGAUUAUUGAAAGUUCUGGGUUUCACGGACCUUACAUGAAAUGCGUUGACAGCUGCUUGAUUAUGAGAGGAAUGUUGCUGCUGAGUUUCUUGAAAAUCUGCAAGAGUCUGUUUUUUCAGUGAUUUUAUUCCAACCCGAUAAUCUGUUUCCAAUAUAAUAGAGGAAUAUUCUGCGAAUCUUAUUCUUUAUGUUCCGGGAGGACCAAAGAUAGUCUACCAGCACCACCGUAAAACUCCAGCCCACCACCGUCAGCGGAGAAUCCAGAGGAUGUCUGAGUUUCAUGUGCAGGUGAAUCUGAUUCUCUAGAUCGACUGAGGCUAUCGAUUCUUUCUUUAUCGAAGCGUUAGUCUGUUCUUCCGUCAAAUUUGGUCUUCUUCAUUACGGUUGCUCUUUGUUGAGCUUUCCCCGGUGAGGACCUCACUUUCGGCGUUGAAGAAGUGGAUUGACUCAUCAGAAGUGGAAAGCUAAAUAAAUUGAGUCUGACAUCUCGUGGAGCAAUUGGAGAAAAAGAGUUCAUCUGAUUGUGCCUCUAGAAUCUUGAAGGGAUUGAGCUUAGGACAUGUUGAGCUGUUACUUUCUGACAAGUUAAAGUCUAAAGGUCUUGGCUUUAAGAUUUUGGCCGCGUCUUGAAGAGCUUUCUUUGUGUAUCUGCCAUGCAUUUGGAGAACUAGGUUUUUUAGUGACGUUAGUACAGCACUUAGGAGAGGCUAAGGAAACUGGAACUGACGUUUAUCUUUGUUGUCAUUCCACAAACAAGUCGUUUUGAUGUUAGCUUUUUGUAGUAGCUUGGUUGAGUUGGAUUUGAGAGGAUGCAAGAACUUGACAGAUUUAGUGUUAGUUUCUUUGAACAAAAGCUGUGUGAAGUUGAGGAGUCUAGACAUUGCAAGUUGUCGAUUGAUUCUGGGUGAUGAAUUAGAGGCUUUUGUUAUGAAGUGACAAUGCUUGAAGAAGAUUAUAAUCGCAGAGAACAAGAAUAUUGAGGCUGCCAUGAAAUGAGCUUCAAGUAAGUUAAUGGAAGUUGUUGCUCUUGAUUCAGAUGUUCUAGAACUGUUUAUGUGAAGUAUAUAAAUCAUUAAGUGGAAAUUACAUUAUCCUUGGUUUUAAAUUUUCUUAGCUCUGUUUUUUUAACACCUACGUUCCUUAGCUCUGCUUUGUUUCACUUUUACAUUUCAACAAUACUACACAUUUAUAAGA